CCAUGCCACCCCCACCAUGGACAGGAUGAGACAAUAUUUUGAAGCAGUCUAAAGAACAAUCUCUACAACCCAGAGGGACUGCAGAUCAGCUUUUAUGGCUCGAGCUUUUCCACUUCCGUAUCUCUGUCAUUCCUGGAGUUGUGUUGUGUGACCUGGUGGAGGAGUACAGAUCUACGUAGACGAGCCUCCGCUGGCGUUCCCAACCCAACAGCUCGUCAACAACAUGGCAGCCAUCAUCCUGGGAGGCUUGCUGCUCUUUGGCUUCCUUCUCAUAUACAACGGCGUUGCCAUGCCAACCAAGAGCAGCAUCAAAACCCUCCUCAAGAAACACAAGCCCACCAUCUCUCCAACCAGGACCCAGAACUCUACCACGACACAGGGACACGAGUAGGAUUUUACAGUUUGGCAUUGUAAGAGUGUGUUAUAGAGUUGUACGUUCCAUUUUUAGCCUUUUAACCUAAGUAUGAGAUGUAAAUGUUUUUAUUGUUCAGAUUGAUCCUUUUUCCAAAUGUGUGUUCUAUGACAUUUGUAUUUGGGAAAAAUUGAAAGAAACUAGCAAAGAUGAAAAGGUACAAAUGAAAGGAAAAACACAUGCUCGGAGUGGGUUUUAUUGGUUGUUGCUGUGUUUUCAAAGAAAAUACAAACUGUAAAAAAUAAAAAAUAAAUAACAAAAAGUAAACCAGGAUUUGUUGCCAUUAGGACUUUGUCAGAUACUACUACAUUAUAUUCUGGUAGGUUGUAUCACAUAAUAUCUCAGACCUGUAGGAGUAGUCGGGAAGGAUCCAUAAAUAAAACACAUCACUCAUA